CAACUCGGGGAAACUCGAGCUAAUACCGCAUAAGCCCUACGGGGGAAAGCGGGGGACCUUCGGGCCUCGUGCUAUUAGAUGAGCCUGCGUUGGAUUAGCUAGUUGGUGGGGUAAAGGCCUACCAAGGCGACGAUCCAUAGCUGGUCUGAGAGGAUGAUCAGCCACACCGGGACUGAGACACGGCCCGGACUCCUACGGGAGGCAGCAGUGGGGAAUAUUGCGCAAUGGGCGAAAGCCUGACGCAGCCAUGCCGCGUGUGUGAAGAAGGCCUUCGGGUUGUAAAGCACUUUCAAUUGGGAGGAAAGGUUCACGGUUAAUAACCGUGAGCUGUGACGUUACCUUAGAAGAAGCACCGG
rnacentral:rRNA from 1 species